ACAGUGAGGCUUGAGCUGGAGAACAGCGUUUACCGGCGGGGCGGCCGGUUUUGUGAAUGAAGCUAUGGCUACAGAUUCCCCCAGAAGACCCAGUCGUUGUACUGGUGGAGUUGUGGUUCGCCCUCAGGCUGUCACGGAGCAGUCCUACAUGGAAAGUGUUGUGACUUUUCUACAGGAUGUUGUGCCACAGGCUUACAGUGGAACACCUCUAACAGAAGAAAAGGAGAAAAUAGUCUGGGUCAGAUUUGAAAAUGCAGAUUUAAAUGAUACAUCAAGAAAUCUGGAAUUUCAUGAAAUACACAGCACUGGGAAUGAGCCGCCUUUACUGAUUAUGAUUGGCUACAGUGAUGGAAUGCAGGUCUGGAGCAUCCCUAUCAGUGGGGAAGCACAGGAACUCUUUUCUGUUCGACAUGGCCCAAUCCGAGCAGCCAGAAUCUUGCCUGCUCCACAGUUUGGUGCUCAGAAGUGUGACAACUUUGCAGAAAAAAGGCCCCUCCUUGGUGUCUGUAAGAGCACUGGAUCUUCUGGAAAAUCCUUCCAGCCUUUGGGAUUGCACUUGAAUCUAAAGAUCAUUGUGUGCAAAGAGGGAGAAAGUACUAGCCCACCUUACUGUUGUGUGGAUCUGUAUUCACUUCGUACUGGGGAGAUGGUCAAGUCCAUUCAGUUUAAAACUCCUAUCUAUGAUCUUCAUUGCAACAAGCGGAUCCUCGUUGUAGUCUUGCAGGAGAAAAUCGCUGCCUUUGAUAGCUGUACUUUCACAAAAAAGUUUUUUGUCACAAGCUGUUACCCUUGUCCGGGGCCCAACAUGAAUCCUAUUGCUCUUGGGAGCCGCUGGCUGGCUUAUGCAGAAAACAAGUUGAUUCGAUGUCAUCAGUCCCGUGGUGGAGCCUGUGGAGACAACAUUCAGUCUUAUACGGCCACAGUCAUUAGUGCUGCUAAAACUUUGAAAAGUGGCCUGACAAUGGUUGGGAAAGUAGUGACUCAGCUGACAGGCACACUGCCUUCAGGUGUGACAGAAGAUGAUAUUGCCAUCCAUAGUAAUUCGAGGCGGAGUCCUUUGGUCCCGGGCAUCAUCACAGUAAUAGACACUGAAACAGUUGGAGAGGGCCAGGUGCUUGUGAGCGAAGAUUCUGACAGUGAUGGUAUUGUGGCCCACUUCCCAGCUCAUGAAAAACCAGUGUGCUGUAUGGCAUUUAAUACAAGUGGAAUGCUUCUAGUCACAACAGAUACCCUUGGCCAUGACUUCCAUGUCUUCCAAAUUCUGACCCAUCCUUGGUCCUCAUCACAAAGUGCUGUCCAUCAUCUGUAUACUCUUCACAGGGGAGAAACUGAAGCCAAAGUACAAGACAUCUGCUUCAGCCAUGACUGUCGCUGGGUUGUGGUCAGUACGCUUCGGGGUACGUCCCAUGUUUUUCCAAUCAACCCUUAUGGUGGCCAGCCUUGCGUUCGAACACACAUGUCUCCACGAGUUGUGAAUCGUAUGAGCCGUUUCCAGAAAAGUGCGGGGCUGGAGGAGAUUGAACAAGAACUGACAUCCAAGCAAGGAGGUCGCUGUAGCCCUGUUCCAGGUCUAUCAAGCAGUCCUUCUGGAUCGCCCCUGCAUGGGAAACUAAACAGCCAAGACUCCUACAAUAAUUUUGCCAACAACAACCCUGGCAACCCUCGGCUCUCUCCUCUCCCCAGCUUGAUGGUCUUGAUGCCUCUUGCACAAAUCAAACAGCCAAUGACAUUGGGGACCAUCACGAAACGAACAGGAUACAUUCUGGGUCAUUGCGGAGAAGUUCAAUUUCGCUUCCACCCCACAUUCCUUGACUUGGUCUUUUUAAAACUUUGGAUGAAGGACAACAAAGUUAAGUCACCUCCACAAAUUUCCCCCAGCAAGUCGAUGGGCGGAGAAUUCUGCGUGGCUGCAGUGUUCGGGGCGUCCAGGUCGUGGUUUGCAAAUAACGCAGGUCUGAAACGAGAAAAAGAUCAGUCCAAACAAGUUGUAGUUGAAUCUCUCUACAUUAUUAGCUGCUACGGGACCUUAGUAGAGCACAUGAUCGAGCCGCGACCGCUUAGUACUGCCCCCAAGAUUAGCGAUGACACCCCACUGGAAAUGAUGACAUCACCUCGAGCCAGCUGGACUCUGGUUAGAACUCCUCAGUGGAAUGAAUUGCAGCCACCAUUUAAUGCAAACCACCCUCUGCUCCUCGCGGCAGAUGCUGUACAGUAUUAUCAGCUCCUGCUUGCUGGCCUGGUUCCCCCUGGAAGUCCUGGGCCCAUUACUCGGCACGGGUCCUACGAUAGUUUAGCUUCUGACCACAGUGGGCAGGAAGAUGAAGAAUGGCUUUCUCAGGUAGAGAUUGUAACGCACACUGGACCCCACAGGCGUCUGUGGAUGGGCCCCCAGUUCCAGUUCAAAACCAUCCAUCCCUCAGGCCAGACCACAGUCAUAUCGUCCAGCUCGUCCGUGUUGCAGUCUCAUGGGCCGAGUGAUACUCCACAGCCCCUUCUGGAUUUUGAUACGGAUGAUCUUGACCUCAACAGUCUCAGGAUCCAGCCGGUCCGCUCUGACCCAGUCAGCAUGCCAGGGUCAUCCCGUCCAGUCUCUGAUCGAAGGGGAAUUUCCACCGUGAUUGAUGCUGCCUCAGGUGCAACGUAUUCUGGAGGUGAUACCACUUGGAAUAGUAAAGACCAAAGGAGAAAUUUGACAGUGAAGUUCUCAUCGCAAGACAACUCAACAGGAGAUUGUUCCUCUUAUUGCCUGAAGCAGGCUGCAGGGCGGGCCUGGCAGCUCUUUAGGGUCUAGAGACCUAGUCUUUGUGGACCUGAUGUAGUGUUAAAGCUCCUCUUUGACAUGUGAACAGAAACGAAACUCUGAGGGUUCAAGUGAUCUGCCCUGCGUGCCGCAGUGACCGAGCGGGCUCACCAGGACGCCCCGAUUCUGCCUGCCUUGCAUACUGACCAGGGAUUCUUUUCUGUCCUGGGACAGCCCUGUGCCUGUCAUGAUCCCACACCGGUCUGUCUAAGAAGGAAACACUUAAAGACUAAUGCAAUCUACAGGAACUAUUCAAUCAGAAAUAAUGAGUCAAGAGGUCACUUGUCAAGAAUGCAUUGUUUGAAAUACUUACUUUUACGGGUUUCCAGUCUGUGAGCGUAAAGGAACAAUUUUCUAGUUACAGCUGAUACUACUUAAAAAACAAAAGAAAAGAAAAGAAAUCUGAAGGAUUACUCCCUUCAGUGGGUAGAGCCUGUUCCCGGGGACCUUUCAAAGGAAACAACUCACAAAGAUCAUGGCACUGGAGGGUCUGAGCCCCAGCCUGACGUGCAGCCCCGCAGAGCUCUGGCCUAGGGGACAGGGAAGA